GUUUUCAUUAAUCAAGAACGAAAGUUAGGGGAUCGAAGACGAUCAGAUACCGUCGUAGUCUUAACCAUAAACGAUGCCGACCAGCGAUUAGGAGACGUUGAAUACAAAACACCACCAUCGGCGCGGUCGCCCUUGGCGCGUUCGUGUUCACGCACGGGCGCGCGAGGGCGGUUUAGCCCGGUGGCACCGGUGAAUGACUCCCCUAGAGCUUGUGAGAA
rnacentral:rRNA from 1 species